rnacentral:rRNA from 1 species
UACGGGGGGGGCAAGCGUUGUUCGGAAUUACUGGGCGUAAAGGGCGCGUAGGCGGUGCGGUAAGUCACCUGUGAAACCUCUAGGCUUAACCUAGAGCCUGCAGGCGAAACUGCCGUGCUUGAGGGUGGGAGAGGUGCGUGGAAUUCCCGGCGUAGCGGUGAAAUGCGUAGAUAUCGGGAGGAACACCCGUGGCGAAAGCGGCGCACUGGACCACAUCUGACGCUGAGGCGCGAAAGCUAGGGGAGCAAACAGG